rnacentral:rRNA from 1 species
UCAUCGAAUCUUUGAACGCACAUUGCGCCCGCCAGCAUUCUGGCGGGCAUGCCUGUUCGAGCGUCAUUUCAACCCUCAAGCUCUGCUUGGUGUUGGGGCCCUACAGCUGA